rnacentral:rRNA from 1 species
AUGGAGUGUGGUGGCGUCUCCGCCGUGCAGGUGCAGCCGGCAGCGCCAACGGAUCAGCCCGGCCAGCCGGCAAAGCCGCCGGUGCAGCCAUGGGAGUACAGCCUGCGGAAGUACCUCCUGCUGCUGGCCGCUCUGGUGGUCACCGUCACCUACGCCGCGGGAUUCAGCCCGCCGGGAGGCGUCUGGCAGACCGCCCAAGACGGCCAGCCCGCCGGCGACCCCAUCAUCCGCGGAACCCACUACCGCCGCUACCUCGCCUUCUUCUACUGCAACGCCACCGCCUUCGCCGCGUCGCUCGUGGUCAUCGUCCUCAUCCUCGUCCUCGCCGCCCGCCACGACAAGAAGGGGAAGGACAGCCGCUGGGUCGUCGUGCCCCUGCGGCUGGUCAUGGUGCUGGACCUGCUCAGCCUCAUGGGCGCGUACGGCGCCGGCACCUGCCAGGACAAGAUCUCCAUCGUCUACUCCGCGGUGCUGGUGGCCGCCAUCUUCCUCUAUGUCGCCGUUCUCAAGAUGAUGGACUGGUAUUGUCCAGACAAGAGCUCCGACCCUGGCUCCGGCGGCACAAUGACCGCCACCAACAGCAACUCCAGCUCCGGCGGCAUGAUGUCCACUCCUGAUCCCGACUCCGACGCCGUCACUAUUCGCUCCCCCAUCCGCGAUUCUGACCCCAAUGUCAAAGAAAAAGAGGACCGCGAACGUGAGGUCCUGAAGAAGCUGAAAGCCGACGAACGGCUCCGCAAGGUCCUGAUGCUCCUGGCGACGUUCGCGGUGAGCAUCACAUACAUCGCCGGGCUGAGCACACCGGGUGGCUUCUGGGACAGCACCGGGGCCAGCUACCGCCCGGGCGAUGCAAUCCUCAAGGACCACCACCGCCCACGCCUGACGGUGUUCCUGCUCUGCAACACCACGGCGUUCGUGGCGUCCCUGGUCAUCAUCAUGCUGCUCAUCAUCGACGGCAAGAAGCUCCGCGAGAAGACCGUUCGGUCGCUCGUGCUCUAUGGGUUCAUCGUCGUCGCGCUAGUCAGCCUUGUCGGCGCUUACACCGCUGGCAGCUGCAGGGAGACAAAAACCACCAUCUACGUGGUCUCCCUGGCCGGCGGUAUUUUGGCAAUGGCAUACAUCCUACUCUAUGCUUUCUACACUUUAAAGUCUUCUCGUUCCAGUCCAACGCAACAAACGGAUGCACUUCAGCAGACUAAUGAUAAUAUCAGUCGUAGAAAGGGUCUGGACAAGGCUCGCUCUCUUGUUCUACUGCUCGCCACUCUUGCCGCCACCAUCACCUACACAGCGGGGUUGGACCCGCCAGGUGGCGUUUGGCAGGACAACGACCACGGGCAUAUGGCCGGCGACCCGAUUCUAAUCACAACGAACAUUGGGAGGUACAGGGCCUUCUACUACUGCAACUCGGUUGCGUUCGUGGCCUCCUUGCUGGUCAUCGUCCUUGUCCAGACAGAGAGGCUGAUCAAGCACCACGUGCUGGAGGCAGCCAUGAUACUCGACCUGUUUGGCCUCAUCGGCGCAUAUGCCGCCGGGAGCUGUCGGGACGUGAAUUCCUCCAUUUAUGUCAUGGCUUUGGCAGGCGCUGCCCUGAUCUAUGUGGUGAUCCAUAUUGUCUUCUUCACGCUGGAGCUGGACCACAAGGACAAGAAAGACGACGAUCAAGAAGAUGAGUUGCUGGAGAAGAGGCGCAAACGGUUGCUCCUGUUCGCGAUCUUGGCUGCAACCAUCACCUAUCAAGCCGGCCUCACCCCUCCUGGCGGGUUUCUUCUCCAGGACGACACGCUCGGGCACCAUGCCGGUGACCCGAUCCUCUUGCACAACUACCCAGUCCGCUACCAUGCCUUCUUCUACUGCAACUCGGUGAGCUUCAUGCUGUCCAUCGCCCUCAUCAUCCUCCUGGUGAACCCGAAUCUGUACAGGCCAGCCAUACAAAGCAAUGCACUAUCCGUUUGCACGGCCGUGGGCUUGUUUUGUUUGAUGGGGGCCUACGCCGCUGGAAGCACGCAACACCGCAAGACAUCCAUCUACAUCUUCGUGUUGGUGGCUGUGGUCCUGCUCAUUGCAGCCGGACUGCUGCUGGUAUUUUUGCUGAAGAGAAAGCUCAGCAAUGUGGUAGUUGCGCCACCAAGAGAACAGAACGAAGAAGAAAGGAAGAAGGAGGUAGAAGAAAAGAAUGAGGAUGAAGAAGAAGCGAAGAAGCAUGCGAGGCGCAAGUAUCUGAUGCUGCUAGGCAUCUUGGUGGCGAGCGUAGCCUACCAGGCCGGCCUGGAACCGCCUGGCGGGGCGUGGCAGAACAACGACAACGGGUACGACGCAGGCAACCCGGUGAUGAACGACAACAGGAGGCCCCGGUACCUCACCUUCUUCUACAGCAACUCCAUUUCCUUUGUGGCUUCCAUCGUUGUCAUCAUCAUGUUGCUACCGCAAUGGCUGCCAAAGAAGAAAGAAGGAGAAUGGGAGAAAUGGUCGCUGAGGGUGAUGAACUGGAUGAUCCGACUGGAUCUGUUUGCUCUCCUAGUGGCCUAUGCAGCCGGCUCCAACAGGGGGUUGAAGACAUCCCUGUUUGUCGUCGCACUCAUCUUUGCUGUGCUGGGCUACUUUGCAAUCCAUACGGUGCUGGCAUGUACUGUUUGUCGCCGUGAGAGGCGCCAAAGCAGCUCUGUAGUGUAG